rnacentral:rRNA from 1 species
UACGUAGGGUGCAAGCGUUAAUCGGAAUUACUGGGCGUAAAGCGUGCGCAGGCGGUUUUGUAAGUCUGUCGUGAAAUCCCCGGGCUCAACCUGGGAAUUGCGAUGGAGACUGCAAGGCUAGAAUCUGGCAGAGGGGGGUAGAAUUCCACGUGUGAGCAGUGAAAUGCGUAAGAGAUGUGGAGGAACACCGAUGGCGAAGGCAGCCCCCUGGGGUCAAGAUUGACGCUCAUGCACGAAGCGUGGGGAGCAAACAGG